GUGCGCUGCUGCGCAGGCGCGGUGGUCGGACGACAGACCGUGUGUUUCCAAAAUGGCGGCAGCGAUGGAUGUGGAUACCCCGAGCGGCACCAACAGCGGCGCGGGCAAGAAGCGCUUUGAAGUGAAAAAGUGGAAUGCAGUAGCCCUCUGGGCCUGGGAUAUUGUGGUUGAUAACUGUGCCAUCUGCAGGAACCACAUUAUGGAUCUUUGCAUAGAAUGUCAAGCUAACCAGGCGUCCGCUACUUCAGAAGAGUGUACUGUCGCAUGGGGAGUCUGUAACGUAAGGAAGCAUCUUUACCUGUCAGCAUGGCUUGUAAACAUAUUUCCACUUUUCCUGCUUUGCUAGUCUUGAAAAUAACUAGGGAAAAAAAUGACUAGUCCACCUUUCUCCCAAAAGUAUGCAAAUAGUAAAAAAGAUUUUAAAUCAUAAUACUGUUCACCUGUUACAGGGUAAAAAUUACAGUUACUGCAAAAAGGCACUUAUUUGUCUUAAUUAUAAGGUGGACCCAAUUUUGUUAGCAGUAUUUUGGGGCUUCAUCUAUGAGAAUUGCCUUCAAAACCUACAUGCACCCU
rnacentral:sRNA from 1 species